rnacentral:rRNA from 1 species
GAUGAACGCUGGCGGCGUGCCUAAUACAUGCAAGUCGAGCGAACAGAUGUGGAUCUUGCUCCUCUACCGUUAGCGGCGGACGGAUGAGUUACACGUGCAUCACCUACCUAUAAGACUGGGAUAACUACGGGAAACCGGCGCCACUACCGGCUAAUAUAUUGAACCGCAUUGUUCACUAGUGAUUGACGGUUUUGCUGUCACUUACAGAUGGUUCCGCGCCGCAUUAGCUAGUUGGUAAGGUAACGGCCUACCAAGGCAACGUUGCGUAGCCGAGCUGAGAGGGUGGUCGGCCACACUAGAACUGAACCACGGUACAGACUACAACGGGAGGGAGCGGAAGGGAAAGGUCUGCAAGGGGAGAAAGGCUAACGGAACAAAGCCGCGUGGGUGAUGAAGAUAUUCGGAUCGUGAAACUCUGUUAUUAGGGAAGAACAAAAGUGUAAGUAACGAUACACGUCUUGACGGUACCUAAAGAGAAAGCAACGGCUAACUACGUG